rnacentral:rRNA from 1 species
CAGUAGCCGCGGGAAUACGUAGGUCCCGAGCGUUGUCCGGAUUUAUUGGGCGUAAAGGGAGCGCAGGCGGUUUAGUAAGUCUGAAGUUAAAGGCAUUGGCUCAACCAAUGUAUGCUUUGGAAACUGUUAGGCUUGAGUGCAGAAGGGGAGAGUGGAAUUCCAUGUGUAGCGGUGAAAUGCGUAGAUAUAUGGAGGAACACCGGUGGCGAAAGCGGCUCUCUGGCCUGUCACUGACGCUGAGGCUCGAAAGCGUGGGUAGCGUACAGGAUUAGAUACCCCAGUAGUCCCUGUCUCUUAUACA